UCGAGGAAUGUAUGCUGGGUUUUCUCGAAAAAGCUAUCCACAAAAAGCUGGCUCUUUAGGACCUUGUUUUGCGAACUUUGUCCUACAGCAGCUGAUGUGAAAAGAUUAGUACUCGAACCAGUCGAGUGCAACACUUCUAAAUCUGAUAGUGAUUUCUGAAUCUUGCCAAUUAAAUCAUGCUUUCCGUUUGAAUUGAAGUCAUAACACUCAAUAGUCAAUGGACUGUCCUUACUUCCAACUUGUUGAAUAUUCACGAUAAUUGGUUUCCACUUUGGACUAUGAUCAUCUUUAAUAAUUUCUGUUUUGCAAAUUGGAACCAUCAUUCCACUCUCUGUAUAUUUAGAUAUCACCAAAAAGGGAUCACUUUUGGAGAACAAAUCCUUGGACACCAAUUCUGAACAUCUCAAUUUCAACUCUACAGUAGUCUUUGAGGCAACACUUUCUUCAGCACAAAUAGUAAGCUUACCAGAUUUUUGGGCAUGCGUUGGACCAGAAGAUUGUUCUCCACGUAUAAUGUCUAAGGUCAGGGACCCGUUUGACUUUGUGACAAUCUCAGAUAAUGUGCAACUAGCCUCGCCAAGAAAGUCCUGCUCCUCCAGUUUAAGCAUCUUGACAUCUUGAUUAUGAAAUUGGGUGUCAACAUCACAGACACGGAACACUAAAUUCUGCACUGUCUCAAAA
rnacentral:misc_RNA from 1 species